CCUUCCCUCACCCUGUCACCACUCGUUCCCCUCAUCUUAUCUUCUUCCCCAUGUUGGUGGCCUACGGCGGCAUGGCGUCCAUGGCCUUCGGCCUGGGGUCAGCGACCAUGGAGGCCUCCGGGCCUCCAACGCGGGCGGCGCGGUGGCGCUCUCGCUUGUCGGCGACGACGAGCACCAGGCUGCCGAUUUCCAAGUCCACGCCGACCGGUCCCGCAGCCACGUCCGAGCUGCCGCUCGGCUCCAACCCUUGCAGUCGAUGCUUUUCGCCGCCGCACACUGUUUAUUUGUAUGCCAUGACUUCUUAGGAAGGACAAGCACACCCAGCGGCCAUCGAUACAUUAUAGUACUGUGCAAUAAAAUCUAGAACAUGUUCUGUGGAAACUCGCAGACACAUGAUAGAUCCAAGAGGGAAGCGCAUUCCUGAUCUCAAACUCGAAACAACAAAAGGCACCUAAAUCGGUGUCCUUUCUUCUAAGAGUAUCAGAGGUACAUAGGUACUCCCAGUGCAUGCGAGGGGGGCUUUAAUUAGUCCUGAUUGAGCUAUACCGUGGAUAACAGUUCAACGCUUCAAAGCAAAGAGAGGGGAUGUGGGAGAAGAAAAAGAAGAUCAUGAUUUGAUUCCUAAAGCUAAGAAGCUUAUAGAAGUUGCUCAUUAAAGACGCUCUUCUCAAAACGAUAAAUAAGUUUGAUAGAAAAGAAAAACAAUUUGACGAGUGAUAUUACCA